rnacentral:rRNA from 1 species
CAGUCGCCGCGGUAAGACGGAGGGUGCUAGCGUUGUUCGGAAUCACUGGGCGUAAAGGGCGCGUAGGCGGCCUGUUAAGUCGGAUGUGAAAGCCCGGGGCUCAACCCCGGAACUGCAUCCGAGACUGGCAGGCUUGAGACCGGGAGAGGAGGGUGGAAUAUCCGGUGUAGCAGUGAAAUGCGUAGGGAUCGGAAGGAACAUCUGUGGCGAAGGCGACUAUCUGGGCCAACACUGACACUGAGGCACGAAAGCGUGGGGAGCAAACAGGAUUAGAUACCCGAGUAGUCCCUGUCUCUUAUAC